rnacentral:tRNA from 1 species
GCAUUGGUGGUCUAGUGGUAUGAUGUCACCCUACCACGGUGGCGACCCGGGUUCGAUUCCCGGCCAAUGCA